UACGAAGGGUGCAAGCGUUAGUCGGAAUUACUGGGCGUAAAGCGUGCGUAGGCGGUUUCUUAAGUCCGUUGUGAAAGCCCCGGGCUCAACCUGGGAAUGGCAGUGGAUACUGAGAGGCUAGAGUGUGUCAGAGGAUGGUGGAAUUCCCGGUGUAGCGGUGAAAUGCGUAGAGAUCGGGAGGAACAUCAGUGGCGAAGGCGGCCAUCUGGGACAACACUGACGCUGAGGCACGAAAGCGUGGGGAGCAAACAGGGAUUAAGAAACCCCUGU
rnacentral:rRNA from 1 species